rnacentral:lncRNA from 1 species
CCCACAGCAUAUAGAAGUUCCCAGGCUAGGGGUCAAAUCGGAGCUACAGUUGCCAGCCACAGCCACAACAAUGAGGGAUCUGAGCCACAUGUGCAACUACACUAUAGCUCAAGGCAAUGCCGGAUCCUUAACCCAGUGAGUGAGGCCAGGGAUUGAAACCACAUCCUCCUGGAUCCUAGUCAGGUUUGUUAACUGCUGAGCCACAAAGGGAAUUCCUAAAGUAACCAAUAUUUAUAAUAAAUACAGUGAAAGUGAGGAAUGACUAGAUUCAGUGAUCUAGAGCAAUGAUACUGUUUUGAUGUUGUAAAGGAGAGGGGAACCAUAUUGGAAUGAACUGAGUAAUGAGUGGAUGUGUAACAACGGAGUCAUUGUAAAAAUGGAAUAAAAAUGGAAAUACUACUAGAAUAGAAAAGGACUUAGUUUUAUGGUAGAAGACUGGAGUUAAAUGAGUUUGGGGUUAUUGUGGAUGUCAUUUUGUUUGUUUUGUUUUAUUUUUAAUUUUUUUUUAUUUUUUAUUUUAUUUUUUAUUAUUUUUGCCUUUUCUAGGGCCGCUACCUGUGGCAUAUGGAGGUUCCCAGGCUAGUGGUCUAAUCAGAGCUGUAGCCACCGGCCUACGCCAGAGCCACAGCAAUGCGGGAUCUGAGCCAUGUCUGCGACCUGCACCACAGCUCAAGGCAAUGCCGGAUCCUUAACCCACUGAGAGAGGCCAGGGAUCAAACCUAAAACCUCAUGGUUCCUAGUUGGAUUUGUUAACUGCUGCGCCACAACGGAACUCCUUAUUUGUUUGUUUUGUUUUAAAUUGAGAAAGAUAUGAGAUAAUUCAGUGGAGAUGGAGGAAGGGGGGAUUCAUAAUGAGAUCUUGUAGGAAAAUAAGAAUUAUAGCUUCCACUUUGUGAAAUAGAUGGAACAUCCUUUAUUCUAACAGGACCUUUCUUGUAUAACAUUCAUUAAAUAUAGAGUUUUUGUUUUUUAAACUAGAGAUAAGUUAAAACUUGCCUAAAUAUUAAGCCAAUAUGGAGCUGAUUAAAUAGAAUGUUGUAUAAAUAUGAAAUGAAUUCUAGUUUGGCCUUUAAAAUUAUCUAGGAAGUUCCAGUGUGGCGUUGCAAUUUAAGAAUCUUCAUCAGUGCAGGUUGCAACUGCAGUGUGAGUUUGAUCCAUGGCCUAGGAACUUCCAUAGGUGAUGGGUGUGACCAAGAAAAAAAUAAAAUUAUCUAAAAUUUUAUUUAUUACACUGGAACUAUUUAACAAUAGCAGAAUUGUACACGGAUUUAUGUUUUCACUCUAUGUUUAGCAAGGUGUUUUAUACAUAAUGAAUAUUUAAUAAAUACUAAAUUACUAAGUAGAGAGAUAAACUUUUUAGAAUAAAAAUCCUACUACAUAAAUAGGUAUACAGGCAAUAUUGGUGUACUGAGAGUGUUUCUUCAUCUUCUAUAAAUCAGCUUAUUUUUGAUUCCAGACUCUCAUCUCAAAGAAAAAAUCCUGUCUUGUGAAAAUUCCUGUCUCAAUGUCCAUCUAUGUGGUUUUGCUUUAGAGUAGAUGAGAAUUUCAGGGAGGUAACUACUCAUGGGCAAUGUUUAUCAAUGGGUAAGCCUAUGUUCUGGCUUUCAUGAUCCUUUCUGAUUAUAUUAUUUUGUCUCAUUUGGGCAGUGAGAACCUUAGGCUUCAGGCCUUUGGUGUAGCAUCUAACUUUCUAAUGCAUCAAGCAGCAUUGCCUCCAGAGAGAGGCUUGACUCCUUCCCUGCCAGUACUGCCAGAGAGUUAACCCAGGCUCCACUGGUUUACAUGAUUCAUGUAUAUUUCAGCAACUUCUUUUUAUCAUCCUCAUUCUUCCCCAUAUAGGUAGACUUUUGAAAAUAAAAGACAAUUCUACAACAAAACUUGUUUGCAUCAUGAAAGGACAGAAAAUGCUACCUCUUGGAAAUAGGGAAAUUUUAGGGUCAAAAAAAGAAGUAUCUCAAAAAUUAUCAGGUUGUAUAUAUCAAUACUAUGAAAAAGUCUGAAAAUGUGAGAUCAAAAGAUAAAUAAAUGAAAGCAUUGAGAGAGUCUCUUUGUAGGAAGAUACUGUUUUUUAAAUUGUUUUUCUUGACUUUUUAAAAAUUAUUUUUGAUAAUUUCUUUUAUAUUAUUUAAUAAAUGAAAUAAAGAAAUACUGGAAAAAGAAAAAAAUAACCUUAAUAUUCUGGAAACAAAAUGAUUUUCCUUUGAAAAGUGGAGCAAAGCUUAGAGCUGAUACAUGGCAGAGUCCACUAAACAACACCAGCUUCUGAAAGGCCAGAAAUAUAGGUGUGAGAAAUCCCUGUUCUACACUGGCUUUAAAAAGCUUUAUGCAACUGUUGCCUUGGGGAUAUACUAUAUUAAUUAUGUGCUCUACUUUUGACUAUUUUUCUUUCCUAAAUAGUCAUAUUGUAUGUGUUACAUACAAAAUAAUAUCAUAUUUUUUCUUCAGUGGAUUCCAUCCUGCUUUGCAUUAAUGUAGUUUUUGGAAGUAUUAUGAAAAGGUCUCCAAUUACAGUUAGAGGACAGGGUCUAAUAAAUCACAGAAGAGGGAAAUUUUAGAUGGGAAAAGGCAUUUUCCAUACCUUUGCCAUUUCUAAAAUAUAUCAUUCAUCCACAUAAGCAUUCAGGUUACACAAAGGGCUUAUGCAUGUCGAUAUCCCUUUUGAGCAUGUUCUUUAAUUGACUGAGCUUUAGAACAUUUGGGCUUUGCUCACUGCAAUACUUUCCACGUUACUUGGUCUUCUAAAAUUUUCUUUCUUCAUUUUAGUUCUCCUACCAGUUUAAGACUGGGAAUGAGAAUUCUGUUUUCUUCUUUUGCCUUAAGUAAUCACUUUCUAUGACAAAAUUCCUCUUGGUAAUGCUGACAAGCAUGUUGCCAACAACAGAGUGUACACUGCUUAUCACUGUUGACCCGGCUCUGUUGGAAUCAGGGCUACACACCAAAGGAGCAUAUUCUGAUCUUCUCCAUAGAGAAAGUCAAAGUGAAGCAUGAAAUGAUAGCUACCUACUGUUAUUCUGGUUUGAUUCUAAGAAUUAUACAUGACCCUUCUUUCAUCUUCACUUUGUAUAAAUUCCCUCUGCUCCUAAGGCCAAUGGACUAGGAAGAUAGAAGCAAAAGUAAAGCUGCAAAUAUUCAAGGCUAAGGACUCUGUCAAAACAAAAUCUGACCAUAAUGACAGCUAUGCAUACAUUAGAGAACCUUUUUUUUUUUUUUCCUCCUGUGCCUUUUGAGAAUUCAGUUACAGAAAAUAGCUGUCAGAUAUCAGUCCAAAACUUCAGAUUAAGGACUUUGGGCAACAGCUACUGGGCACAGAAGAGAGAAGCUAGGACUGAAAGAGGCAGGGAUUCAAUGAAGCUGGGCAAAAAAGGCUAAACAGUGGAUCCACAAUAGGUAGAAAACCAGGUACCCAGAGGCAAAUAAAGAUUGAGGAUCACCAUGAAAUAGCAGCUUGAAAGUCAUGCUGGUAAGCAAAAGUUCCAGGUGCCUGUAUCCUGGAAGUUAUUUUAGAGCAGAGAUUCUGCAAAAGGUGCAACCCACAACAGUGAAGAGAUGAGAUUUUAGGCUUUGCUCAGAGCCACUAUUCAAUAAAAGUCAAUCAAAUUGUGAUCACUUUAUUUUUAACUCCCUUUCAGAUCUUUUCAAGGAAAAAGUCUCAAUUUAAAGCUUUACUUAAAUUUAUUUUUCCUAGAAGUAAACCAAGUCUCUUUAAAUAAUAUGCUUUUCAUCACUUUUAUCUUAAUAACACUUCCUAUUUAUAGCAAGUUAUAUUUCCCAUUUUUUAUAACAUAUAUUUUCCUUUUAAAUGUAUUUCUAGUGAAUUUAUUUAAAGAUAAAUAUUAGGUAAAUAAUUUUAAUGUGGUAGAAUUGGUGCUAGAUAUGGCAAAAGUCCUGAAGAUGGCACUCAGAUGACAGACAUCUGUGAAAUACUGUUUUGAGCAGUAUAAUGAUACACACACUCUUGCUUAUACAUUAGGUUCCUCCUCCAUUUAGAAGCUAUGUCUAAUUUCAUGCAAGACUAAGAAUACUGAACCCCAUGCAUAUACACACAGAUAGAUGUUACUGUGAAGGGCAGGGGGAGGGGAAUCUGCUUCCAAUUUUUAUUCUCUUCUUAUCCAAAAAAACAAUUUGAAAUGAAAUGUAACCUAAAUUUUGGAUUUAUCAACCAGGAAGACUAUCAUGAAACUUUGUGUCUACCUUAUAUUUGUAACUUCUUUGAAUUAACUUUCACACCUAGGUGAUCCAGUGUCAGAUUUGUCAGUGGCAUUCCUCAUGCUUGAUGACAAGAGCAUUGGGUAAGCCCAGUAUUCUGAUCUCAGAAA